AAUAAGUGGGCUAAAAUGAAGUAUCGAAGCCCAUCCAAAGGUGCAUCUAAGAACCUCACAUCUCGUACCCACCAACAGGUUUUGUCUUUCCAUUUCCUUCAUCACAUCCAAAACUAUGCGCCAAAGCCAAAAAUCAGUGAAAAAAUAGCCAUGGAAACUCGAAUUGGCAACUCCCUUAGCCUCCUUCUACGAGACCCCAAUGACCUCAAAACUGACUUCAACUCCCUCUUCAACAAUCUCAACACUUCCCUUUUUUCCACCCCAAUUCUACAUCACAAGAACCCCAAAUCAACAAAUCAUCAUUUCAGUCCCAAUUUCAAGUUUUGUUCAACUUCUGUUUCAAUUGAAGCACAAAUCAAGAACCCCACUUCGAAUUUUCUAAAACCUGCUACUAGGGACUCCUCAAAAGUUCAGGUUCUGUUCAAGAAUCUUUCUGUUGUUGAAAGAGCGCUUAUUGGUGCAGCUGGUGGUGGCAUUGCUGGUGCAUUCACGUAUGUAUGUCUUCUUCCUCUUGACACAAUCAAAACUAAGCUUCAAACUAAAGGGGCAUCGGAAAUUUACAGUGGAGCUAUUGAUGCUUUUGUCAAGACUUUUCAAAGUAAGGGGAUUCUUGGGUUUUACAGUGGUAUUUCAGCUGUAAUUGUUGGGUCUACUGCUUCUUCUGCUGUGUAUUUUGGGACUUGUGAGUUUGGAAAGUCAAUCUUGUCGAAAUUUCCGCAAUACCCAUCUGUGCUUAUCCCACCAACAGCUGGUGCAAUGGGGAAUAUAGUAUCAUCUGCUAUAAUGGUGCCGAAGGAGUUGAUUACUCAGAGAAUGCAGGCUGGGGCUAAAGGGAGGUCUUGGCAGGUGUUAAUGAGAAUCUUGGAAAAAGAUGGAAUUUUGGGGUUGUAUGCUGGAUAUAGUGCUACAUUGUUGAGGAAUUUGCCUGCUGGGGUUUUGAGUUAUUCAUCAUUUGAGUACUUGAAAGCCGCAGUAUUGAGUAAUGUGAAGAAGGAACGUUUGGAGCCAUUUCAGAGUGUUUGUUGUGGGGCAUUGGCUGGUGCAAUAUCAGCUUCACUAACAACCCCUUUGGAUGUGGUGAAGACUAGGUUGAUGACUCAAGUUCAUUCUGAAGCUGCCAAUAAGGUUGGUGCUGUAAUGGUUACUGGCGUCUCAGCUACUGUUAGACAGAUAUUGACGGAAGAAGGCUGGGUUGGAUUUACGCGGGGAAUGGGUCCUAGAGUACUUCAUAGUGCUUGUUUUUCAGCUCUCGGGUACUUUGCAUUUGAGACGGCUAGGCUUACAAUUUUGGAUCAGUAUUUGAAGCAUAAGGAGCUAGAGACUCUGGUUCCUGAGGAGGAUGCAACCCAGGCCAACUAGAAUGUAUGAGUAAUGGUUCUUACAUCCAGCUGUUACAACCUUUUGCAGUAACUGUGGUGGUUUUAUCCUGCAUAUCAUACAACAUCUUCAAUCAUGACAUGGAAUGCACAAACUUCCUCCAAAAGCAGCAGAUGCAUUGAACGAAGCAGUAGCCCUGUUCGGGACUUCUCUCUUCAGUUCCCAUGCCUGUCAUCGGCAGCAAGAAUCCUACCUUGUAAUUCCUGUAACUAGUUCAGAGACAUAGCCAUUUUACGUCAAUGAAUAGUAUACAAUAAAUAAUCAUAUCGGAAAGAGUAUCUUUCCCUAGGUAAAAGCUCAUAGUUGUGCUCCCUCCUUGGACUAAAUUUUCAUCUUUAGAAAAGCUUCCAUGCUGAUUGUAUUUAAGUCAAGAAAAAAGGCUUGUUUGUUGCUCCAAAAUACCAACAUUUUCAGUAGUUCCAUCGAUGAAGAAUUUUUGUGUGUCACACCUGAACAAGUGAUGCUCUUACAAGCAGCUACCUUCUUCUGUCAAUUCAACAAUGACUUUCUUGGA